rnacentral:rRNA from 1 species
CCUACGGGGGGCAGCAGUGGGGAAUAUUGGUCAAUGGGCGCAAGCCUGACCCAGCAACGCCGCGUGAAGGAAGAAGGCUUUCGGGUUGUAAACUUCUUUUCUCAGGGACGAAAAAAGUGACGGUAGCUGAUGAAUAAGCCACGGCUAACUACGGGCCAGCAGCCGCGGUAAUACGUAGGUGGCAGGCGUUAUCCGGAUUUACUGGUUGUAAAGGGCGUGUAGGCGGGACUGCAAGUCAGAUGUGAAAACCACGGGCUCAACCUGUGGCCUGCAUUUGAAACUGUAGGUCUUGAGUGCUGGAGAGGCAGACGGAAUUCCCAGUGUAGCGGUGAAAUGCGUAGAGAUUGGGAGGAACACCAGUGGCGAAGGCGGUAUGCUGGACAGGAACUGACGCUGAGGCACGAAAGCGUGGGGAGCAAACAGGAUUAGAUACCCGAGUAGUC